GACGAAGGUGGCGAGCGUUGUUCGGAAUCACUGGGCCUAAAGCGCACGUAGGCGGCGACGUAAGUCGGGUGUGAAAUCCCUCGGCCCAACCGAGGAACUGCGCCCGAUACUGCGUUGCUUGAGGAUCAGAGGGGUGCACGGAAUUUCCGGUGGAGCGGUGAAAUGCGUUGAUAUCGGAAGGAACGUCGGCGGCGAAAGCGGUGCACUGGCUGAUUUCUGACGCUGAGGUGCGAAAGCCAGGGGAGCAAACGGG
rnacentral:rRNA from 1 species